rnacentral:rRNA from 1 species
GGAUGAGGUGUGGGUAGGGGUGAAAUGCCAAUCGAACCUGGAGAUAGCUGGUUCUCUCCGAAAUAGCUUUAGGGCUAGCCUCAAGGUAAGAGUCUCGGAGGUAGAGCACUGAUUGGACUAGGGGCCCCUACCGGGUUACCGAAUUCAGUCAAACUCCGAAUGCCGAUGACUUAUCCUUGGGAGUCAGACUGCGAGUGAUAAGAUCCGUAGUCGAAAGGGAAACAGCCCAGACCGCCAGCUAAGGUCCCAAAGUAUACGUUAAGUGGAAAAGGAUGUGGAGUUGCUUAGACAACCAGGAUGUUGGCUUAGAAGC